rnacentral:rRNA from 1 species
CCUACGGGGGACAGCAGUGAGGAAUAUUGGUCAAUGGGCGAGAGCCUGAACCAGCCAAGUCGCGUGAAGGAUGAAGGCUCUAUGGUUUGUAAACUUCUUUUAUAUGGGAAUAAAGUGAGGCACGUGUUCCUUUUUGUAUGUACCUUAUGAAUAAGCAUCGGCUAACUCCGUGCCAGCAGCCGCGGUAAUACGGAGGAUGCGAGCGUUAUCCGGAUUUAUUGGGUUUAAAGGGAGCGUAGGUGGGUAAUUAAGUCAGCGGGGAAAGUUUGUGGCUCAACCAUAAAAUUGCCGUUGAAACUGGUAGGCUUGAGGAUAUUUGAGGUAGGCGGAAAUCGUGGUGUAGCGGUGAAAUGCAUAGAAAUCACGCAGAACUCCGAUUGCGAAGGCAGCUUACUAAACUAUAACUGACAGUGAAGCACGAAAGCGUGGGGAUCAAACAGGAUUAGAUACCCGAGUAGUC